rnacentral:rRNA from 1 species
AACGAACGCUGGCGGCAGGCCUAACACAUGCAAGUCGAGCGAGAUCUUCGGAUCUAGCGGCGACGGGUGAGUAACGCGUGGGAAUAUGCCCUUCGGUUCGGAAUAGCCCCGGGAAACUGGGAGUAAUACCGGGAUACGGUCUACGGACGAAAGAUUUAUCGCCGAAGGAUUAGCCCGCGUUGGAUUAGGUAGUUGGUGGGGUAAUGGCCUACCAAGCCGACGAUCCAUAGCNGGUUUGAGAGGAUGAUCAGCCACACUGGGACUGAGACACGGCCCAGACUCCUACGGGAGGCAGCAGUGGGGAAUCUUAGACAAUGGGCGCAAGCCUGAUCUAGCUAUGCCGCGUGAGCGAUGAAGGCCUUAGGGUUGUAAAGCUCUUUCAGUGGGGAAGAUAAUGACUGUACCCACAGAAGAAGCCCCGGCUAACUCCGUG